rnacentral:rRNA from 1 species
CCUACGGGUGGCAGCAGUGAGGAAUAUUGGUCAAUGGGCGCGAGCCUGAACCAGCCAAGUAGCGUGAAGGAUGACUGCCCUACGGGUUGUAAACUUCUUUUAUAAAGGAAUAAAGUGCGGCACGUGUGCCUCUUUGUAUGUACUUUAUGAAUAAGGAUCGGCUAACUCCGUGCCAGCAGCCGCGGUAAUACGGAGGAUCCGAGCGUUAUCCGGAUUUAUUGGGUUUAAAGGGAGCGUAGAUGGGUUGUUAAGUCAGGUGUGAAAGUUUGCGGCUCAACCGUAAAAUUGCCGUUGAUACUGGCGGCCUUGAGUACAGUUGAGGUAGGCGGAAUGCGUGGUGUAGCGGUGAAAUGCAUAGAUAUCACGAAGAACUCCGAUUGCGAAGGCAGCUUACUAAAGUGCAACUGACAUUGAUGCUCGAAAGUGUGGGUAUCAAACAGGAUUAGAUACCCCUGUAGUC